rnacentral:rRNA from 1 species
CAAUAGCGUAUAUUAAAGUUGUUGCGGUAAAAAAGCUCGUAGUUGGACUUCUGUUGAGAGAUACCGGUCCAUGCAACGCAUGCGUAUUUGGUAAGUCUCGGCAUCCUCUCGAAAAACUUCUUUGCGCUUGAUUGCGUGAAAAGAGUUUCGGGACUUUUACUUUGAGGAAAUUAGAGUGUUCACGGCAGGCCAUCGCCAGGAUACAUUAGCAUGGAAUAAUACUAUAGGAUCUUGAUCCUAUUUUGUUGGUUUCUAGGAUUAAGAUAAUGAUUAAUAGGGACAAUUUGGGGCAUUCGUAUCAACACGUCAGAGGUGAAAUUCUUGGAUUGUGUUGCGACGAACUACUGCGAAAGCAUUUGCCAAGGAUGUUUUCAUUGA